ensembl:snRNA U6 U6 spliceosomal RNA
CUGCUCACUUUGACAGCAGGUUUACCAAGGUCGAAACCAUCCAGAGAUCAGUAUGGACCCUGUCCAGGAUGAUACCCAAAGUUGUGAAAUGUUCCUUGUUUUU